rnacentral:rRNA from 1 species
CUACGUGCCAGCAGCCGCGGUAAUACGGAGGGUGCAAGCGUUAAUCGGAAUUACUGGGCGUAAAGCGCACGCAGGCGGUCUGUCAAGUCGGAUGUGAAAUCCCCGGGCUCAACCUGGGAACUGCAUUCGAAACUGGCAGGCUAGAGUCUUGUAGAGGGGGGUAGAAUUCCAGGUGUAGCGGUGAAAUGCGUAGAGAUCUGGAGGAAUACCGGUGGCGAAGGCGGCCCCCUGGACAAAGACUGACGCUCAGGUGCGAAAGCGUGGGGGGCAAACAGGAUUAGAUACCCUGGUAGUCCACGCCGUAAACGAUGUCGACUUGGAGGUUGUUCCCUUGAGGAGUGGCUUCCGGAGCUAACGCGUUAAGUCGACCGCCUGGGGAGUACGGCCGCAAGGUUAAAACUCAAAUGAAUUGACGGGGGCCCGCACAAGCGGUGGAGCAUGUGGUUUAAUUCGAUGCAACGCGAAGAACCUUACCUACUCUUGACA